rnacentral:rRNA from 2 species
UGCAGUCGACGGUGAAGCCCAGCUUGCUGGGUGGAUCAGUGGCGAACGGGUGAGUAACACGUGAGUAACCUGCCUCUGACUCUGGGAUAAGCCUUGGAAACGGGGUCUAAUACUGGAUACGAGACGCUCGGGCAUCCGAAGUGUCUGGAAAGAUUUAUCGGUCAGAGAUGGACUCGCGGCCUAUCAGCUUGUUGGUGGGGUAAAGGCCUACCAAGGCGACGACGGGUAGCCGGCCUGAGAGGGCGACCGGCCACACUGGGACUGAGACACGGCCCAGACUCCUACGGGAGGCAGCAGUGGGGAAUAUUGCACAAUGGGCGCAAGCCUGAUGCAGCGACGCCGCGUGAGGGAUGACGGCCUUCGGGUUGUAAACCUCUUUCAGCAGGGAAGAAGCGAAAGUGACGGUACCUGCAGAAGAAGCGCCGGCUAACUACGUGCCAGCAGCCGCGGUAAUACGUAGGGCGCAAGCGUUGUCCGGAAUUAUUGGGCGUAAAGAGCUCGUAGGCGGUUUGUCGCGUCUGCUGUGAAAACUCGAGGCUCAACCUCGGGCCUGCAGUGGGUACGGGCAGACUAGAGUGCGGUAGGGGAGACUGGAAUUCCUGGUGUAGCGGUGGAAUGCGCAGAUAUCAGGAGGAACACCGAUGGCGAAGGCAGGUCUCUGGGCCGCAACUGACGCUGAGGAGCGAAAGCAUGGGGAGCGAACAGGAUUAGAUACCCUGGUAGUCCAUGCCGUAAACGUUGGGCACUAGGUGUGGGGCUCAUUCCACGAGUUCCGUGCCGCAGCAAACGCAU